UCUAAAUGUAUCCAUUGUGUCAUUGGUAAAUAUGGAUGUGUCUGCUUUGCUUAGCACUGGCAUUACUUGGGCAAUAUUAGAUUUAGCAAGUGAUGGAUGUACAUUUUACAUCAAGGGUACUCUGCAUUUGAUGGAUUGACAGAAAAUGACAAAUUCAUUUUUUUUGUAAGUAUUAAUUACAUUGAUCUUUUUCCCCCCCCCCCCCUGAAGUUCCAAUACUUAUCAUAAUUUUAUCUGGUCAUAUUAGUAGCUUUCUUUUCCUUCUC
rnacentral:misc_RNA from 1 species